ACCGAGCCACCAGCCCACGACCCUUCCUCUCUCGAUCUCAACCUCCAGCUCCGCCCCGCCCCGCCCCUCACCGCCGUCCGCGGCCGCGCGCCGCCACCCCCUACUCCGCCGGCGCGCCUACCCAUUACCCCAAGUGCCAACACACCCGCGCCCAUCGACUACGGGCGACCCGCGGCCUUCCACCGCCGGCGACGCUCGACGUCGCGGCCAUUGGCGGCUCCCCGGCCCUGCUACCAUGGCGCCUCCGGGACUCCUCCCCGCUCCUUCCACCUCGACAUUGGUUUUCCCAACCCCGCCGGCUUCGCCACCAGCCACUCCUUCCAGGCGCACUCUAUCCGCCGUCGUCGGACCCAUCCGACUGGUUCCAAUGGCGAACAUCGACGCGAUUCACCCGCCCACCAUCAGAUGCGACAGCAAAUCCAUAGCCCCUGGCCACCUCCUCCGCCGCCGGCGCCGGUGCCUCGAAGGUCAAGGGAAGACCCUCUACUCGGCCCCCAUCGCCGUCCGCACCGCCGCCCUUUGCCGCCGCCACCACCGCCGUCCAAAUCGCCGCCCCCAUAGCCGUCCAAACUACUCUCCGCAACACCUCUCCAUCCCACAGCUGCCGAAGACAGGGAGGAGGACGAGGCUGGCUAGGCAGGGAGGCCGAAGGUGAAGUGCAGUGGGAGGCACAUCGGUUUGUGCAGAGGGAGGUCUAUGGUCAGCUCAUUGGAAUCUCACAGGCCACCACGGGGAGAGCAAUCACGCAGGCACAUCAACCUCCCCCGCCAGGUAUGUUCAAUUGAACCUUCACUAUUAGUUGAGCUAACCGUCUCCAACAGCAACGUCCCAAUCACAAAUAAUUAUUUAGGUUUCUUACUGUGUGCGUGGAUGUGGCAUUGGAAGGAUAGAUGGCAGUACUCGUGUGGAUGCAACAACUGACUAUGUUGUGGUGUUCAGGAAGGAUCGUAGAUACAGCAGCGGUCCAUCCGCAACCGCGGCCACGGGUGCCUAAUCUAAGGCGACCUCCUGUUUUGACAUCGUCCUUGGUAGCUGCAAGCGUGGAAACAACCUUGGCAGUGCAGCGGCAGCCACAAGGUUGUUCCUAGACCACUCCACCUCUGAACUGUACAACCUGCUGUGCUUUCUAGCUAUUCUAUUUAUAUGUAGCCAUACAUUGGUACAGUUAAUUCAUAAACAUGAUUCAAUAGGAUUUGAUAUUUUUUCAUGUCUCAAGUUUUUAGCUCUUCCCUCUUGGUGUGCAAAUCUUUUAGAGGGAAUUUGGUGUGCCAAUUAUUUUCCUGAUUACUGUAGUUAUAGUUUUUCUCACUGUUAGAGCAGAGUAAAAUUCGAACUAUGAUAUUAGUGGUGGUUAGCUGAUAACUUGAUCAUAACAGGGGGCACACUAAUCUUCUUUCUUUUCUUCUCUAACAAAGUCUUAAUAUUAUAAGAAUGUUGUUUUCUUCUUUCAUAAUCUGACAAAUAAAAUUUCCCCUAAUUUCAGUUUGGAUAAGUCAAGGUUGCUUUUGGAUCUUAGUAGAAGAUAGACGUUAUGGAUUUAGACAAAAAUAGAUGUGGAUUUAGGGGUUCCGUAUGAUACUCAUGUCUUCUCUAUUUGGGGUACAAGUUCAAGUGAUCUUUUAGGCUACUAUUGAAGGGAAAUAUGUAUGCCGUUUUGUUCAUUUCAUCUCCACCUACCCACCUCGCAUGUGCGUUCCCCUUCCCACCGGUUUUAUUGAUUUUUUAUAACAAUAAUGCCUUAGGUUAUAAACCUACAAUAUAUUAACAUUCACUAGAUACUCAUUUUUGUCUGUAGCUACACAAUCCAACUACUCAAAGGAACAUACAGUUCUAGAAGUGAGAACUGUUGAGCUAUUAUAGCGCAGUUUUGGGAUGAUGGAUGUUCAGGCCAGCUAUGCAGACCUUAAGGUAAAUGUUUUUCCAGCUAAUUAACAUGAAAUGUCUUGUAACUUGAACUAAUAAUGAACAACUGAGGAAUGCUGCCUGAAUGAAUCCAAAAUGUGUUGGAAACACCAACGUCCAGUUGGAGAGGGAGCUAUCUGGAUCUCCAUCCAACUAGGACAUGUCUGCUUACAACUUUUUGUUGAACAUGAUAUUACAUGAUUCUAUCAAAGACAACUCUCCUUUCUUCAGUGUACAUGCAUGAUAUUACAUGAUUAAACAUACCAUUUUUAACUUCAUUUAGUUGUCUAUAUUAUGCUCUAUGUGCUAUCACCAACAAAAAUAGUGUUACCUCCGUACCAGGCCUACCAAAUAUCUUAUAUUUUGGUACACAUGUAGUAUUUUUAGCCUGCAAAGCGACUCCUAUGCCCAGUGUGCCAAUAAUGUGUUUGCACCAGUGAAGAGAUAACUUAUUUUUUACAUUGUAAGAAAUACAUCCUGUUUCUUCCCCAUCAUUUAAGUGUGUGGCAUGCUAUCUUUGUUCAUGUUGCUGGCUGUACAUUUUCAGUAUUGUCAGGAUAUAUCUGAUUAUGAUGAUGUUCAGUACUACUUUGGAGCCGCAACUUUUUGGACUGCUUGAUGUUUAUAACCAAUGAGACUACUUUUUUGGUUGUUGGCUGGAGCUAUCACUAUGACUGGAUUUGUUUUCACACAAGUAGAUUUAUAUGGUCAUCAAAAACCAACGACAGGUUAACACUUGUCAGCAGUUUGCAAUUUGUAUUACAGUAUGCCCAAGCCAAUGGUCAGACAAUGUUGUUUUAGUUAGGAAAUGUAGAAAAUGUGGUCAUGAUUUAUGUAGAUUCGACAGUCCCUUCAAACUGCAGUCUUCAACCUUGAGUGGACCAUCUAACUAUAUGUUUCCUUGUAGAAAAUUGACUAUAUGUUCCAUGAAUUGACUGAUUAUUUUGGCCCGAUCAGAUUAAACUAGGUCUUGAUUUGAAGGUCCAGCUAAGGCAGCUGGUGCUGGUUUAUUUGUUGUAAUACUAACUGUGCUAUUUAGACAGAGACAUGUGGUCUUUCUCAUUCCUCGAAAUUUUCCUUUGCUACCAAGAUUUUCCAUUCUAGGUUGUGGAAAAAUACAUGUAGCAUUCCUUCUACAAGUCGUCAUGAGCUGGGACAUAGAAGAAGAGAGCCGACGAGAAGUCGCACAGCGGUUCGCUCCGGUGUGGCUGCCAAUGGCGUUGCGCAAAGUGCAGAUUACAGGCUAGAUGCGUACGAGUCCGUCCCUACUUCCACGACGUGGAAGCAAAGGAAAUCGAGUCAAUUAGAUAGUAUAUUUGGUUAUGUAAGUUGUCUUUUGUGUAUGCAGUUUUACCAUUAUUUUGUAAAAGCUUUGAGUUUUUGAUAAUGUAAUUGUCUUACUAAUCACACUUUUAAUCUAUUCGUGCCAAGGCUAACAGCCAAGUUAUGCACAAGCUGUUGAUGUUUCCUUGA